AGGACAAAAGACAGAUUGUAAUGGGAGAGGGAGCCAGUAGCCCACAAGUAGCUCCAACAGCGCUGGACAUCUGGAAGAGAAAACCUCCACACAGCGAGAUUAAAUACAGUAACUUGCCUGAGACCACACUGUUUAGGGAAGAACUCAGACUUGACCGAGGUCUUAUUCACUGCACCAAGAGGUAGGGAGAGCCUACAGGAGUCCAAGGACAGUAUCACACUAUCACAGAUUUGAGACAUCAUUAGACAUCAGGGAAAUAAACGCAAGCCAUAACCACAAGAUACUAGUUCACCCCCACAGGGAUGACAAGAGGAGAAAAAUCAGAUAACACUAAGUGUUGGAAAGGAUGUGGGAAAAUCAGAACCCUCACCUAUUCUGGUAGAAGUGGAAAAUGAGUCUACUGCUUUGGUUUAGAAGUUCCUUGACUGAUUCCGCAUGGAGUUACCAUAUGAUCCAGUUAUUCUACUCUGAGGCAUAUGCUAUAGAUCAAAUGUUUCUAUGUCAGAAUCCGUAUGUUAAACCCUAAGGCUCAGUGUGAUGAUACUGGGCAGUGAGGCCUUUGGGAGGUGAUUAGGUCACGAGGGCUCCAUGAACGAGAUCAGUGCCCUUAUAAAAGAGGCCUCUAAGAGCACCCCUCCCCUGCCACCGUGAGAGUUUACAGUGAGAAGUCCGCUACCUAGGAGCCAGAGGUGGGUCUGCCCCAGACGCUGCGUCUGCUGGUAUCUUCAUCGUGGACUGUCCAGCCUUUAGGACUGUGAGAAAUAAAGUUCUCUUGUUUAUAA